AUUGAACGCUGGCGGCAGGCCUAACACAUGCAAGUCGAGCGGAUGACGGGAGCUUGCUCCUCGAUUCAGCGGCGGACGGGUGAGUAAUACCUAGGAAUCUGCCUGAUAGUGGGGGACAACGUUUCGAAAGGAACGCUAAUACCGCAUACGUCCUACGGGAGAAAGCAGGGGACCUUCGGGCCUUGCGCUAUCAGAUGAGCCUAGGUCGGAUUAGCUAGUUGGUGAGGUAAUGGCUCACCAAGGCGACGAUCCGUAACUGGUCUGAGAGGAUGAUCAGUCCAACUGGAACUGAGACACGGUCCAGGCUCCUACGGGAGGCAGCAGUGGGGAAUAUUGGACAAUGGGCGAAAGCCUGAUCCAGCCAUGCCGCGUGUGUGAAGAAGGUCUUCGGAUUGUAAAGCACUUUAAGUUGGGAGGAAGGGCAGUAAGCUAAUACCUUGCUGUUUUGACGUUACCGACAGAAUAAGCACCGGCUAACUCUGUGCCAGCCGCCGCAGUAAAAC
rnacentral:rRNA from 1 species